CAUCUGUGUUAAUAAGGGUAAAGGGGUAUUUUGCGGUUGCAAAAGAUCUGAGAUGGUCAGAUUGAAAGACGGCAGGGGAAGCAUGGCAGCUGCUUGGGCUUGGUUCUGAAGCAGGGCUGCUAAGAGCUGAAAGUGGACAGGCUGUAAUACCUGCCCAUCCACGUCACCGGAGAGGAAAGCUAAAGCAGCGUUUACAUUCGGGUUGAGAAAACCUAAAGGGUGGAGGUUGAUCUCAGACUUGCCUUCUCCUGCUGAAGGCUGGAGGAUAUUUAAUAGAUUCUGGUUUAGGAGAUGCUGUUGAUUCACUGGCAAAGAGAUAGGUAGAGAGCUGAGGAGGCUGGGGUUCAAGGGGUGUGGAAGAUGGUUGUUUGCGGUGCUGUUGGAUGGAAAAUGAAGGGCAUGCUCUUGGCCAACAAAAGGAAAGUCACUCCCAAUGGGCAGCUGACUCUGCAGUGGGUUUCCAGCUGCGGUGGUGACUAUGACACCAUCUUGGAGAACAGAUGUUGUCUUUGUGAUGGCAGGGUGGUUGCUGCCAGCUAUAGCUAUGGAGGACGGCAGGCUUGAACCACCUACAAUGAGAAAACAGAAACAGUUAUUAGUUAUGGACCGUUAGCAACAUUACCCAUAAAGCUUCCUGAGAUAUAUUCAGGUUGUUCUACUUACUUGGCUGUAAAGAGAUUAAUUGUAACACAGAUGAUUUGACAUCUGAUAAUGGAACUUAAAUUUGAAAACUAGUGUCUGACGACGUUUGCUGAAUAGCAAAGAGGUUUCUGUGCAUAGCUCCACAAAGUGAAGAUGGGCAAGGAUGUUAGAGUUCAUCCACUCAGUUUGCCAGGAUGAUGAGACUGCAAUAUGCUAAGGCUGGAACAUCUAUAUAGACGUCUGCAACAAGGGGACAAUUACAAAACUGGUGGUGUCUGAGAAAACUGCACAAACAAGAAAACUACAGUUUGAUCAGGCAUCUGAGGGAUGAAAACAAGAUAAAAAGUGCUUCAAUGCAGAAGGUGAUUCUUUUCCCUUAAAUAAGAAAGUAAGGCAGACGAUGGGGACUAUGUCCUGAGUUUCACAAAUACAGAAAUAUCUGAAAUAUGUGUAUGGCUUUUAUAGACUCCCUCAGCCCAUGGUUAAGCCUGCCAGUUUACACGAGCA
rnacentral:lncRNA from 1 species